rnacentral:lncRNA from 1 species
UUAUCACUAUCUUAUUCUCUAUUGUUUUCAACAAUUCUCUGGGUCAAAAACUACUCCACAGUGAGGUCCAUUUAAAUUCACAUGUCUUUGAAGGGGUAGUUUUUGAAGCUAGGCUUUGAGAUUUGUUCUGGACCUCAAGAAUGUUCUUCUUAGUUAUCUCUUUCUCUGGUUCUCCCUGGUGAACUAGCUGGCCUAGGAUUUAGUUUGUUGCUCUCAAGGACCUACUAGCCCCAUCUUUAUUUUAUUUCUUUUUAAAUUAUAGUUGACCCUCUUUAUUUCUUAUCACUAAAAUCUCCAUGGUUCUAAAGAGUGCCAUUAGGCUUGAACUCCCCUCUAUCUGUCUGUUCUAAACAAAGUCAAUUCCAUGGGAAAGGUUUGGGCUCUUUGUUCUACCUCUUACACUUGGUCAAAAUCUUCAAGAUCCUCUCCAGAGCAGGAGCUGCAGUCCUUUAUGAGCAGAUCACUCAGCAGGGGCCAUAGCAUCUAGUCUUCUCAACUAGUCAAUUUUCUCAGAGUGGAAACUCUGCCAAAAAAGUGAGGUGGGGUGAGAUGAAGUAGGGCCCCAAUUCCUGGCCUGCCACACCUGCAGUACAGGCUCCACCCUAUGAUAGGGAACUGGGUGGAGGAAACCUCCUCCCCAACUUCUUAGAACAUAGCCUCUGCAAUAGAAGGCUUUAGGGGAAUGAGAAGUACUGCAGUCCUGCACAACUUGCACUACCACAGCCCUCACCAGAGAACUGGGGCAGGGGGUUAGGAAGAGGGAGACAGGAAUCUUGCAUUCUAGUUUAUAUUGACUCAUGUUGACCUGGGGCACUGAGGGCAUAGGGGGGAGGAAGUAGGUUGUGCUCAAAUACCACAGCUUGCCACUGUUCUUACUGAGAUUUAAUAUAUAUUCUUGAAUAAAUGUUGUUGUUGAUUAUUAGCUGUAUGUCCCUAGGAAAAUUUUCAGAGGUUUUAAAUAAUUUGCUUUUUUAUAGGGAACAGAUCUGCGGAGCCUGUCACAUCACCAUUUUGGAAGUGGGUCACCUAUUUAACUCAUGUUCAGGCCAUUCUACUUGCAGUACAGGGGAUAGCUGAAGAGAAAAUCCUGACUCAUAUCCUGCAAUUUAUCAAGCUCAGUGGAAAGAGAUAGCUCACUAACAAGGCGAAAAGCAAAGGAAGAAUCGUCCUGACUGAGAUCACAUGCUUCAUGCCCAUUCCUUAACCCGUCUCUUUGACUAAAGGAAGAAAUACUUUGAUGAGGGUUUAUAACCACGAGGACCACCCCUGUGAUAGAUGAAUGGAGUGAGUAGGGUUAUCUCAACCGCAGAACCAUGGGAAAGAGUGCUUUUUAUACUGGAAAGUUCUGCCACACCACUCAAUGUAAGCAAUCAUAAAGAAUUCAUUGGCCUAUUGCUUUCGGUAACUAUUUUUAGGAAAGUGUUAUGGUAGAGGUCUCUGGAAAGAGAGUGGCUUCCAGAAACCAGGAGGCAUAAUUUGGCAGCAGAAUGGGUACCCGGGGUGUAUUGGCGACUUCUGUUUACAGAAGGCAAUGCUCUCUAGGCUACUUAUGCCCAUGCCUGCCUUCACUUUACUCUUCAGAACAACCCUGUGAGGUAUAUGUUAUUAUUCCUCAUUUAUGAUUAAAAAAGUAAAUUGACCUAGGUCACAAGCUUGGUCACAAUCAAAGUUCAGUUUUGAACCCAGAUCUAUUUCUGAAAACCAUGUGCUUUUCAACAUAUGGUAAUGUUCUAAAUGCAAAAUGUUGGCAUCUUGACAAAGUAAGCAGAGGUUUUCAUUUUGUGUUGCUUUCCCUCUUCCUUUCCUCUAAGAAAAAAGAACAUGUUACCUGUUAGAGAUCAACUUUGGGAAAGUGAUACAUUCUGAGGAUCUAGGAGCUGGGAGGUCGUAAGCAUUGAAAGCAGCAAAAAGGAUGGGAAAGUCCUUUGGUGGUGAGCUUAAGACAGAUUUUCUUUUCUACUUAUAACAUUAAAAGAAUGGAGAUUUGCUGAGAUUUUCCACUUCUAUAUAUAAUCAGCAAAUUUGUUAUUUGUCACAGAUUUUAUAUUAAGUAGUUGGUACGGAAUGUCAGACUGUACUAUUCCCUCACAUAACAACUAUUUAUUGAAUUUUUACUAUAACAUAAGCAUUAAAAAAAGAAACCUAAGGGCAUAAAAUAUCUAAUAAAAUGGUAAAAAUCAAGUUUUAAAGAUUAAAU